UACGUAGGGGCAAGCGUUAUCCGGAUUUACUGGGCGUAAAGCGUGCGCAGGCGGCUUUGCAAGACAGAGGUGAAAUCCCCGGGCUCAACCUGGGAACUGCCUUUGUGACUGCAAGGCUAGAGUACGGCAGAGGGGGAUGGAAUUCCGCGUGUAGCAGUGAAAUGCGUAGAUAUGCGGAGGAACACCGAUGGCGAAGGCAAUCCCCUGGGCCUGUACUGACGCUCAUGCACGAAAGCGUGGGGAGCAAACAGGAUUAGA
rnacentral:rRNA from 1 species